AAUUUAUACAGAAGUGGCGAGAGAACAGGCUCCGUGACCCACUGGCAACCUUCGGUAAAGCGAAAGGUGCCAAUUCCUGCCCGCCCGGCCGUUGCCCGCGGGACAGAUAAGUU
rnacentral:ncRNA from 2 species